rnacentral:snRNA from 1 species
GUGCUGGCUUCAGCAGCACAUAUACUAAAAUUGGAACGAUACAGAGAUUAGCAUGGUCCCUGUGCAAGGAUGACAUGCAAAUUUGUGAAGUGUUUCAUAUUUUU